rnacentral:rRNA from 1 species
UACGUAGGGGGCAAGCGUUGUCCGGAUUCACUGGGCGUAAAGCGCGUGUAGGCGGCGCGUCAAGUCGGGUGUGAAAGCCCGGGGCUCAACCCCGGGAUGCCGCUCGAAACUGGCGCGCUUGAGGACGGAAGAGGGGAGUGGAAUUCCUGGUGUAGCGGUGAAAUGCGUAGAUAUCGGGAGGAACACCAGUGGCGAAGGCGGCUUCCUGGCCUGUUCUUGACGCUGAGGCGCGAAAGCUAGGGGAGCAAACGGG